rnacentral:rRNA from 1 species
GGGGACCUUCGGGCCUCUCGCGUCAGGAUAUGCCCAGGUGGGAUUAGCUAGUUGGUGAGGUAAUGGCUCACCAAGGCGACGAUCCCUAGCUGGUCUGAGAGGAUGAUCAGCCACACUGGAACUGAGACACGGUCCAGACUCCUACGGGAGGCAGCAGUGGGGAAUAUUGCACAAUGGGCGCAAGCCUGAUGCAGCCAUGCCGCGUGUAUGAAGAAGGCCUUCGGGUUGUAAAGUACUUUCAGCAGUGAGGAAGGUUCAUGCGUUAAUAGCGUAUGGAUUUGACGUUAGCUGCAGAAGAAGCACCGGCUAACUCCGUGCCAGCAGCCGCGGUAAUACGGAGGGUGCGAGCGUUAAUCGGAAUUACUGGGCGUAAAGCGCAUGCAGGUGGUUUGUUAAGUCA